rnacentral:misc_RNA from 1 species
GAUGAAGAACGUAGCGAAAUGCGAUAAGUAAUGUGAAUUGCAGAAUUCAGUGAAUCAUCGAAACUUUGAACGCACAUUGCGCCCGCCAGUAUUCUGGCGGGCAUGCCUGUUCGAGCGUCAUUACAACCCUCAGGCCCCCGGGCCUGGCGUUGGGGAUCGGCGGAAGCCCCCUGCGGGCACAACGCCGUCCCCCAAAUACAGUGGCGGUCCCGCCGCAGCUUCCAUUGCGUAGUAGCUAACACCUCGCAACUGGAGAGCGGCGCGGCCACGCCGUAAAACACCCAACUUCUGAAUGUUGACCUCGAAUCAGGUAGGAAUACCCGCUGAACUUAAGCAUAUCAAUAAGCGGAGGA